CGGAGCCAAAGCCGCUCUGCUUCCGGAUCGCGGCCCCCCCGGGCUCGCACACCGGCGCCCUGGACUGGAACGCGCAAGGGUGUGGUGUGUGGGUUUCCGUGUCCAUCGACGCGUGCGCACGCGCGCCUUCCUGCGGAAUUCCAGCCCAUUCCGCGGAUGCGGGGGUUGAGGACAGUAAGCGUUCUAGAGCGCCAAGGUCAGAGUGGGAAGGUCGUGUCAGCACGGAGGGGGUGUGAUGUCCCUCUCAGAGGGCUCCAGAGUCUCUGAUAUCCCAGCUGGCCCCGGGCACUGAAGAUAGUGCUGUGACUGACAGGCCUUGGAGACAGAGAAAAAAAAAAUUCUGUUUUCUAGAAUGCAGCUCCUAAAAUCCUGGGAAUCUGGAAGCAAAGUGCUGAUAAACCCUCUGCUGGCCAGCAGCCCCUGGAUAGCUCCCAGGCAGACAGCCCCAGGGCUGAACUAAAUCAGAAGAUACCUGCUGGUGUCCACUACUGAGGAAGAAACUGCUUUCCGCUAAGCAACAGUCUCCACGCCUUUCGGGAUCCCAGAAGUCUCCUGUGCUGACUGUGACAUGAGACUGCAAGAGAAACUGACCCUUCUCUAGAGCUUCAUACUGCCUGCCACUCCUUUAAUCCCAGCACUUGGAAGGCAGGGGCAGGUGGAUCUCUGUGUGUUUGAGGCCAGCCUGGUCUACAGAGCAAGUUCCAGGAUGGCCAGGGCUACACAGAGAAACCCUGUUUCGAAAAACCAAAACUGAAAAAAGAAAAAGAACAUUUACAACUUCAUUGACUCCACUGGGAUAAUAAAAUACCUUUCACCUCACAAGCAAUGUGCAGCAUGGGUGCAGGUGUUU